UACGAAGGGUGCAAGCGUUAAUCGGAAUUACUGGGCGUAAAGCGUGCGUAGGCGGUUUCUUAAGUCUGCUGUGAAAGCCCCGGGCUCAACCUGGGAAUGGCGGUGGAUACUGAGGAGCUGGAGUACGGUAGAGGAAGGUGGAAUUCCCGGUGUAGCGGUGAAAUGCGUAGAGAUCGGGAGGAACAUCAGUGGCGAAGGCGGCCUUCUGGACUGCAACUGACACUGAAAAACGAAAGCCAGGGGAGCAAACGGG
rnacentral:rRNA from 1 species